GACGAACGCUGGCGGCGUGCUUAACACAUGCAAGUCGAACGGAAAGGCCCUGCGUUUGUGGGGUGCUCGAGUGGCGAACGGGUGAGUAACACGUGCGUAACCUGCCCUUGACUUUGGGAUAACGUCAGGAAACUGGGGCUAAUACCGGAUAGGAGCUCCUGCUGCAUGGUGGGGGUUGGAACGUUGCGGCGGUUGGGGAUGGACUCGCGGCUUAUCAGCGUGUUGGUGGGGGAGGGGCUUACCAAGGCUUUGACGGAGAGCCGGCCGGGGAGGGUGACCGGCCACACUGGGACGGACAGAGGGCCGGCACAGCUACGGAAGGCAGGCGGCGGGAAGAAUGCUCACUGGGCGGAAGGAAGCUGCAGGCACGCAGCGUGCGGGAUGAAGGCAUUCGGGUGGGACGCAGAUUGCGUUCAGGACGGAGCGGUAGUGACGGUAACGGCAAAAGAAGCACCGGCUAACUACGUG
rnacentral:rRNA from 1 species